rnacentral:rRNA from 1 species
GGGUUGUGAGGUUAAGCGACUAAGCGUACACGGUGGAUGCCCUGGCAGUCAGAGGCGAUGAAGGACGUGCUAAUCUGCGAUAAGCGCCGGUAAGGUGAUAUGAACCGUUAUAACCGGCGAUUUCCGAAUGGGGAAACCCAGUGUGACUCGUCACACUAUCAUUAACUGAAUCCAUAGGUUAAUGAGGCGAACCGGGGGAACUGAAACAUCUAAGUACCCCGAGGAAAAGAAAUCAACCGAGAUUCCCCCAGUAGCGGCGAGCGAACGGGGAGGAGCCCAGAGCCUGAAUCAGCAUGUGUGUUAGUGGAAGCGUCUGGAAAGGCGCGCGAUACAGGGUGACAGCCCCGUACACAAAAGCGCAUGUGUUGUGAGCUCGAUGAGUAGGGCGGGACACGUGGUAUCCUGUCUGAAUAUGGGGGGACCAUCCUCCAAGGCUAAAUACUCCUGACUGACCGAUAGUGAACCAGUACCGUGAGGGAAAGGCGAAAAGAACCCCGGCGAGGGGAGUGAAAAAGAACCUGAAACCGUGUACGUACAAGCAGUGGGAGCCCCACCACUAAGCCAGUGGUGAACUCCACAUACGCAUCCUUUGCUGAAGGUGCGGUUAACGGAGCGCAAGCGACGUUCAACCUCAAAAGAAGCAGAGGGGGCUUAGUGGUGGGGUGACUGCGUACCUUUUGUAUAAUGGGUCAGCGACUUAUAUUCUGUAGCAAGGUUAACCGCAUAGGGGAGCCGGAGGGAAACCGAGUCUUAAUUGGGCGUUAAGUUGCAGGGUAUAGACCCGAAACCCGGUGAUCUAGCCAUGGGCAGGUUGAAGGUUGGGUAACACUAACUGGAGGACCGAACCGACUA